rnacentral:lncRNA from 1 species
GGAGAUGCACAUCCAAAAAUAUCUGACAUGCAAAUGUGACAGAAUAUUUUAAAAUCCCACCCAAAUUUCCGAUUAUAUAUCUCUGAAAUUUCUAUUAAACUGAUCAAUUAUAAAUAUAUUUCAUAAAAUAUUCCAAAAAUAUAUCUUCAAAAUAAAAAAAAAAAUAAACAAUCACUUUGUUAAAAAAAAAAGGCUCAAGAGCCCUUAAAGAAGAUCCCUUUUAAGAUGAUUUUUU